rnacentral:rRNA from 1 species
GUGUAAGCGCAGCGAUGCGUUGAGCUAACCGGUACUAAUGAACCGUGAGGCUUAACCUUACAACGCCGAAGGUGUUUUAG